rnacentral:rRNA from 1 species
AUUGAACGCUGGCGGCAGGCUUAACACAUGCAAGUCGAACGAUGAAGGUCUAGCUUGCUAGACUGGAUUAGUGGCGGACGGGUGAGUAAUACUUAGGAAUCUACCUUUUAGCGGGGGAUAGCUCGGGGAAACUCGAAUUAAUACCGCAUAAUUUCUACGGAAUAAAGAGGGCUUUUAGCUCUCACUAGAAGAUGAGCCUAAGUAAGAUUAGCUAGAUGGUGGGGUAAGAGCUUACCAUGGCGACGAUCUUUAGCUGGUCUGAGAGGAUGAUCAGCCACACUGGGACUGAGACACGGCCCAGACUCCUACGGGAGGCAGCAGUGGGGAAUAUUGGACAAUGGGGGCAACCCUGAUCCAGCCAUGCCGCGUGUGUGAAGAAGGCCUUUUGGUUGUAAAGCACUUUAAGCAGUGAAGAAGAACUAUUGGUUAAUACCCAAUAGCUAUGACAUUAACUGCAGAAUAAGCACCGGCUAACUCUGUGCCAGCAGCCGCGGUAAUACAGAGGGUGCAAGCGUUAAUCGGAAUUACUGGGCGUAAAGUGAGCGUAGGUGGUUAAAUAAGUCAGAUGUGAAAGCCCUGGGCUCAACCUAGGAACGGCAUCUGAUACUGUUUAACUAGAGUAGGUGAGAGGGAAGUAGAAUUUCAGGUGUAGCGGUGAAAUGCGUAGAGAUCUGAAGGAAUACCGAUGGCGAAGGCAGCUUCCUGGCAUCAUACUGACACUGAGGCUCGAAAGCGUGGGUAGCAAACAGG